GCUUUGAAGUGGUUUCGGCCCACUUACUCUAAAUCUGCAGGACUGAGAAGUUCUUCUGUGCCCAGAUGUACUCAUGGAGCAAGCAGCAGAAUGAAACUUUCCUUCCCAAGUGGGUCAAGCUUUUUUCUGUCCAUUCCACCUCUCUCUAAUCUCUCCCUCUCCUCACCUGGAGUCUUAGAGUCAAUUUAAAACUGGCAGGGGCUUUGGAGAUCAUGGAGUCUAACCCUCUCAUUUUACAGAUGAAGAAACUGAAGCCCAAAGAAGGUAGUAACUUGCCCAAGGGCACACAGGUUCAGUGUUCAGCCUACAGAGUUUAAGCCAUAGAACGAAGAUUGUUUCCAUCUGGAAAAAAGAAAAUCUCACAGCUUUCAAGCAAAGAGGAAGGAACGUCAAGAGUUAUUUUCAUCUCCAUAGGCGAUAGAGGGGCAAGGGAAAGAGACUUCAUCAAGAGAAGAUGAGGUAGGUGGUAGCAAGGUGGCUCAGUGGAAUGAGAACCAGGUAUAGAUAUGAGAGGUCCUGGGUUCAAAUUUGAUCUCAGAUACUUCCUAGUUCUAUGACCCUGGAAAAGUCACUUAAUUCCCAUUGCCUAGCCCUUAUCACUCUUCUGUCUUAGAACCAAUAACUAGUAUUGGUUCUAAAACAGAAAAGGUAUGUAGGAGAGGGAGAGGGAGAGAGAGACACACACACACACACACACACACACAGAGAGAGAGAGAGAGAGAGAGAGAGAGAGAGAGAGAGAGAGAGAGAGAGGAUGAAUAAGAAGGGACUUUAGGUUUUUC
rnacentral:lncRNA from 1 species